GAUGCCUUGAAACACCUCCGCAGCUGUUUCCAUAUCCCCAAAGUCAAGGAUCUGCCUCCAACGGAUCUGAGCCUGGUGAAUGGCGAUGAGAGCUGCGUGUACUUUGCUGGGAAUUCUCUUGGGCUCGAGCCAACAAAAGUCAAAACUUACUUGGAUGAAGAGCUGGACAUGUGGGCUAGAACAGGUGUUCAUGGCCACUUCCACGGGCGCCGGCCGUGG